rnacentral:lncRNA from 1 species
GCAGCUGCGUUAUUAGAGCUCCACGGCGGAUCUCGGGGCUCUUCUGCUCGCUUUUUUUCCUCUUCAGAAAUUAAAGCAGAGGAGCAUCUGAAAGUGGAAAGGUCCCCCUUCUGGUAGGAUGGAUGUAAAAGGAGGCAACAAUUUGUUCUUGAGGGGGCAAAAAAAAAAAAAAAAAAAAAGAAAAAGAAAAAGAAAAAGAAAGGAGGGGGGAAAUUCAUUGCUUGGCUUUUGCAUUGUCGGACUUUAAAAAAGUGUGUCUGCUGUUGUUGCCCGGACUCGGGAAAUCUUUUUUAUGGCAACCGCAGACCUGCCAAGUCUCUCUUACUUGGAAUCUUUAUAAAGGAGCAACUUGGGAUUCCUGGGCAAGAUGGCCAAGUAGGAACAGCUCCAGUCUGCAGCUCCCAGUGAGACCAACGCAGAAGGCGGGGUGAUUUCUGCAUUUCCAACUGAGGUACCCAGCUCAUCACAUUGGGACUGGUCAGACAGUGGAUGCAGCCCACUGAGGGCGAGUAGAAGCAGGGUGGGGCAUCGCCUCACCAGGGAAGUGCAAAGGGUCAGGGAACUCCGUCCCCUAGCCAAGGGAAGCCGUGAGGGACUGUGCCUUGAGGACAGGUGCACUCCAGCCCAGACACUACUUUUCCCGUGGUCUUCACAACCCGCAACAGGAGAUUUCCUGUUGUAUGUUCCUGGGUGCCUACCCCACCAGGGCCCUGGAUUUCAAGCACAAAGCUGGGUGGCCGUUUGGGCAGACACCGAACUAGCUGAAAGAGGUUUUUUUGGUACCCCAGUGGCACCUGGAAUGCAAGCGAGACAGAACCGUUCCCUCCCCUGGGAAGGGGGCUGAAGCCAGGGAGCUGGGUGGUCUUGCUCAGUGGAUCCCACCCCCACAGAGCCCAACAAGCUAAGAUCCACUAGCUUGAAAUUCUUGCUCCCAGCACAGCAGUCUGAAGUUGACCUGGGACACUCGAGGUUGGUGCAGGGAGGGGCAUCCACCAUUACUGAGGCUUGAGUAGGCGGUUUUCCCCUCACCGUGUAAAUAAAGCUGCUGGGAAGUUAGGACUGGGCGGAGCCCACCACAGUGCAAAAAGGCUGAAAAUUCCAAAAACCGGAAUGCCUCUUCUCCUCCAAAGGAUUGCAAAUCCUCACCAGCAAGUGAACAAAACUGGAUGGAGAAUGAGUUUCAUGAGUUGACGGAAGUGGGCUUCAGAAGGUG